UACGUAGGGUGCGAGCGUUAAUCGGAAUUACUGGGCGUAAAGCGUGCGCAGGCGGUUUUGCAAGCCGGAUGUGAAAUCCCCGGGCUCAACCUGGGAAUGGCAUUCGGGACUGCAAGGCUGGAGUGCGGCAGAGGAGACUGGAAUUCCUGGUGUAGCAGUGAAAUGCGUAGAUAUCAGGAGGAAUACCGAUGGCGAAGGCAGGUCUCUGGGCUGACACUGACGCUCAUGCACGAAAGCGUGGGGAGCAACAGG
rnacentral:rRNA from 1 species